GCUCUCACAGCGAUUUUAGCUUCUGGACCGUCAGAUCUUGCUAGCUGGGUUCACUUAGUCGAUCUCAUCCGUUCAUUCCGGGCCAGCAGCGCGUCAGACCUUCCUAGGUGAAGCCAUGUAACAACCAAUUUCUACCCGCCUCCUUAUGUAUUUGGGACCCGCAGCUCGGCCGGUCCACUCGUCAGUCGCUUGGGUGGGUUUCAAGUUAGUUAAGCGUGGCUGCCGGCGUAAGGGGUUGGCUGCCCACCCAAUCCCCACUCACGUUUCUCUCUCCCCCAAUCUCCACUCACGGUUCCUCUCCCCCAAUCCCCAUGGUUCUUCUCCCAAUUUCUCAAACCCUAGGCCAAUCCCCACCCUGCUCGCCGCCAGCUCCCGCCCCUCUCUCUUCCUCGGCUCCAAUGGAGCGAAGCCGGCGACGCGACGCCUCCUCCCCUUUCCACGGGCUCCUGAGCAGACGCGCGUGCGCAAGGGCAUGCGCUGGGCGGGCUGGCGACCAAGGCGAGGCCAGCAAGUGACGGUGGUGAGGGGCAUGUGCGCGGCGGGCUCCUGCUAUGCUCCGCCUCUCCAUCCUCCCAUCGAGGCGGAGGACGACAUGGCACCAGCGACGUGCGCCGCCACUCUCUCUCCUACCCGAGCUCCCGUCGUCUCCAUCGCGAGGAGCAGGUCAGGUCGCCGUCCUCCUUUUGUGUCUUGCAGCAGGACCAGCACCAGGAGGAGAACGCCCAAUGAAUCAGCGAAAUAGUUUGUCUAUAGAUCUGAGUGAUAAAAGUGACAAGAAGGGGACUUGGAGGAGAAAGGCAACCAUGACUCAAAAUGAUGAUUUUGAUGCACACUGCGCAUUUCAUGAUAUGCAGGAAAAAACUUGAAUGGAAUUGAAAGAUUUAGUAAGGCACUCCAAUAUCUAGUUGAGAUGAUGAAAGUCUUUGUAAUCAGGUUGUUCAGGAUGAAAUAGUUUAUUUGAAACUUCACUCCUUCUCGCCAAAAUAGAUAGCAUGGACCCUUGAUCUACACCGUGGAGCUUGGCGUAGAUCGAGCUCUUGCUGCCGGAGACGGAACUAAGACCUAUGUUGGAAGGUUACCAAUGAGGGCACACGUUUGGUCAAGCAAGCAGAAGGAUAUGCUAAAGUAGGUACAAUAUCCGCGCCAGCAACUGCAUCAUUUCUGCACUUCUUAUUUGUGGUUCAAUCUAUGGAUAGUUCAUUUUGCACUGUAGUGGCAUGUUGAUCCACCGUCCAAUUACACCAUAUCAUGUUAAUACUUUUAAAGCAGUUGACACCUGAUUAUUGAAGCCGCCAACAGGGUUUUAGAUUUCGUCUCUGACAUUUAGCUUAAUAGUUGUAUCUGGUCUGCCUUAUGUGAUUCAUGAGCUCCUGCCAUCCAGUGGUUCAGUUGUGUAUUUUUAUUUAAUCUUCCAUGAAAAAGUACUUUAAAAUUAAUCAUUUGCGCUCGGCUAUGUCCAUGCUUAUUUUGAUUUGUUAUGGUUUAAUCGUGCCAUUCCUGUUGUCCUUCUUUGUAAAUGGUUUGGUAUACAAGGAUACAUCUCCGAUUGUAACGAUUGACCUCCUUUUUGUAGUUCGACAUUUUU